rnacentral:tRNA from 1 species
AGGGCCCUUAGCUUAAUUGGUAGAGCACCUAAUUGUCGAUUAGGGUUGUCCCAGUUCGAAUCUGGAAGGGCUCG